rnacentral:rRNA from 1 species
AGCGAACGCUGGCGGCAGGCUUAACACAUGCAAGUCGAGGGGAGCGGCAGACGGGUGAGUAACGCGUGGGAACGUACCUUUUGGUUCGGAACAACACAGGGAAACUUCUGCUAAUACCGGAUACCGAAAGAUCGGCCCGCGUCUGAUUAGCUAGUUGGUAGGGUAAUGGCCUACCAAGGCGACGAUCAGUAGCUGGUCUGAGAGGAUGAUCAGCCACAUUGGGACUGAGACACGGCCCAAACUCCGACGGGAGGCAGCAGGGGGGAAUAUUGGACAAUGGGGGCAAGCCGGAUGCAGCCAUGCCGCGAGAGUGAUGAAGGCGCGAGGGUUGUAAAGCUCUUUUGAGCGGGAAGGGGAACAGCAAGAAUAAGCCCCGGCUAACUUCGGGCCAGCGGCCGGGGUAAUA